AACAAAUGGUGAUGCUUGGACAUCGAUACUCAACCUUCAGAAGCAACUGAAUCGAUACAUCCCGACUGGUGUUGAUAUAGGACUUUGUUAGAGGUCCUUCUCGACUGAAGAAAAGACGGAAAACCACCAUAGUGUAUUAUCAAGAAGAAACGAAAUGAACUAAAUGACGGCAAAGAAUCAGGUUUGCUCGCAACGGUAGAUUGGACCAUGCUUAGUGAAUGAAGAUGACGCAAUACUUGGUGUUUCCGACUUCAAAUAAACGGGCCAACACGCAAGAGACUUCAGACCAUAUUUUGGCUGAAUGCGACUUUGCGAAGGAAGUUUAGAGGUGAGUUCACAACGGGAUAGAAGUUCCAGCCCCAAUCUCUUUUUAUUCUGCAAAACACGUGUUGAAGCAUGCUUGCGGGGUUGACAGGUCGAAAAGAUUAAAGUAGGUUAUAAAAGCGAUCUUUAUGAAGGCGACGUGACGAAUAUGGCUCUGUCGGAUUGAGAGGAUAUUCAGCGGUAAAGCUUCUUCAGUGCAACUGGUAAUGGAAAAGAUUAAGGCUGAAUCCUACUGGUGGGCUGUUAAAAGAGCCAAAAUUAUUGGGCUUGUGUUGGAGAAAUGGAGCAAUUUGGAAAACCUGGGCAGUGUAUAGGGCGGGCGGUGGCUGUGUCUUUUGGCUAGCAAUUGUAUUCUUCUUUUUUUCACUUUUGUUUGGUGUAU
rnacentral:lncRNA from 1 species